AGUGAACGCUGGCGGUAGGCCUAACCCAUGCAAGUCGAACGGCAGCACAGGAGAGCUUGCUCUCUGGGUGGCGAGUGGCGGACGGGUGAGGAAUACAUCGGAAUCUACCUUGUCGGGGGGGAUAACGUAGGGAAACUUACGCUAAUACCGCAUACGACCUUCGGGUGAAAGUGGGGGACCGCAAGGCCUCACGCGAUUAGAUGAGCCGAUGUCGGAUUAGCUAGUUGGCGGGGUAAAAGCCCACCAAGGCGACGAUCCGUAGCUGGUCUGAGAGGAUGAUCAGCCACACUGGAACUGAGACACGGUCCAGACUCCUACGGGAGGCAGCAGUGGGGAAUAUUGGACAAUGGGCGCAAGCCUGAUCCAGCCAUACCGCGUGGGUGAAGAAGGCCUUCGGGUUGUAAAGCCCUUUUGUUGGGAAAGAAAUCUUGCCGGUUAAUACCUGGCGAGGAUGACGGUACCCAAAGAAUAAGCACCGGCUAACUUCGUGCCAGCAGCCGCAGUAAAAC
rnacentral:rRNA from 1 species